GACGAACGCUGGCGGCGUGCCUAAUACAUGCAAGUCGAACGCUUCUUUCCUCCCGAGUGCUUGCACUCAAUUGGAAAGAGGAGUGGCGGACGGGUGAGUAACACGUGGGUAACCUACCCAUCAGAGGGGGAUAACACUUGGAAACAGGUGCUAAUACCGCAUAACAGUUUAUGCCGCAUGGCAUAAGAGUGAAAGGCGCUUUCGGGUGUCGCUGAUGGAUGGACCCGCGGUGCAUUAGCUAGUUGGUGAGGUAACGGCUCACCAAGGCCACGAUGCAUAGCCGACCUGAGAGGGUGAUCGGCCACACUGGGACUGAGACACGGCCCAGACUCCUACGGGAGGCAGCAGUAGGGAAUCUUCGGCAAUGGACGAAAGUCUGACCGAGCAACGCCGCGUGAGUGAAGAAGGUUUUCGGAUCGUAAAACUCUGUUGUUAGAGAAGAACAAGGACGUUAGUAACUGAACGUCCCCUGACGUAUCUAACCAGAAGCC
rnacentral:rRNA from 1 species